AUACACUUCAUCUAGUAGUUCCAUCGGCGCAUCUACAGUUCCAUCGGGUUUGUCCAAAUUGAUUUCUGAGCAUAUGGCAAUGACGGAGCCAGGAAAAAAUUUUAGGUGGGGUGAGUUCUAAGAGCAUCUUCAAGAAUGCUCCAUUUUUCUUUCUCAUCUGUCUUUUGGAAAAAAAGAAAAAAUCAUUUCUAAAAGUUUUCCAUAUCUCUUCUCUACCUUUUCGCACUUGCCAAACCACUGUCACCUAUGCGCAAUUAUACGCGCGGUCUGAGAGCGCGCAUCCCGAGAAGUAGCACGAGAUGGGAAAGAAAAAGAAGAAAAAUAUAGGGUUCUAGGUAAGAAGAGCGCAAGAGAAAGAUCUAGUGGAAAGGCUUAAAUACAUAGAGAAACAAAAUUCAGGAUUUCUUAUGCAAAACAUGAGACCAAGUCGUGG
rnacentral:lncRNA from 1 species